rnacentral:rRNA from 1 species
UGCAGCUAACGCAUUAAGCACUCCGCCUGGGGAGUACGACCGCAAGGUUGAAACUCAAAGGAAUUGACGGGGGCCCGCACAAGCGGUGGAGCAUGUGGUUUAAUUCGAAGCAACGCGAAGAACCUUACCAGGUCUUGACAUCCUUUGACCACUCUAGAGAUAGAGCUUCCCCUUCGGGGGCAAAGUGACAGGUGGUGCAUGGUUGUCGUCAGCUCGUGUCGUGAGAUGUUGGGUUAAGUCCCGCAACGAGCGCAACCCUUAUUGUUAGUUGCCAUCAUUCAGUUGGGCACUCUAGCAAGACUGCCGGUGACAAACCGGAGGAAGGUGGGGAUGACGUCAAAUCAUCAUGCCCCUUAUGACCUGGGCUACACACGUGCU